CUACGGAGGAUCCGAGCGUUAUCCGGAUUUAUUGGGUUUAAAGGGUGCGCAGGCGGGAGAUUAAGUCGGCGGUGGAAUUUUGCAGCUCAACUUUAAAAGUGCCUUCGAAACUGGUUUCCUUGAGUGUAGAUGAAGUAGGCGGAAUUUGUGGUUUAGCGGUGAAAUGCAUAGAUAUCAAGAAGAACUCCGAUCGCGAAGGCAGCCUUCCGGCCCGUCAACGACGCUCAGGCUCGAAGGUGCGGGUAUCAAACAGGAUUAGAUACCCUGGUAGUCCGCACAGUAAACGAUGGACACCCGCGGUUUGGCCUAUAUGGCUGAGCCGCCAAGCGAAAGCGUUAAGUGUCCCACCUGGGGAGUACGCCGGCAACGGAGAAACUCAAAGGAAUUGACGGGG
rnacentral:rRNA from 1 species